AAAAGAGGUAUUUUUGAGGUAUAAAAAAAUUGACCUUAUUUCAACUAACGAGAGUGAGAUAUUUAUUGAGGUAUAUGAAGUCCUUUUAUUUAUACCUAAGCUUAUUUUGAGGUUGUUUAAAAUUCACUUCAUAUCAACCAGAAUCAUGAGGCAGUUUUUAAGGUUCACCAGGUUGUUUUUUUUACACUUGUAACAAAAGAGGUAUUUACGAGGUAUAAAAAAUAUAAUUUUUUUCAACUAAAGAGAGUGAGGUCUUUAUUGAGAUGUAUGAAGUCAUUUUAUUUAUACCUAAGGUUGUUUUAAGGUUGUUUAAAGUACACUUCAUAUCAACUAGCUCACUUCCCAGAGUUCCGUGCUAGCCGGCAAAUGGCGUGUGUGUUUACAAUCGAAAGUUUCUUUAAAAUUCGAGCUGCUCCGUAAAUGGCAUCCAGAAUUUCAAGGUUUGAAUAAGGCUGUCAAUAAUACGUGCUCUGCAGCUAGGAGGAAGUGGAGACUAGUAACUGGAGAGCCUUCCCCUGGGAGUAACUCUAAAUAUACACCAAAAAGAAAAAAGACAAGUUCCAAUGCUCCAAAUAACGUAAGCACAGCAAACUUGCAGAAGAAGCAGAGUAAUUGUCAAGAAUUUUGAUUUCUUGAACGAAAAAUUAAUUUUUUUUUGUUAAUAAAAGUUUUUAUUUGUAA